GAUUGAACGUGCUUGGAGGAGAAGACAUGGUUAAAGUCCUUACGUAUUAGCUCACAAUAAUCGAACGAAAUAGUUGGAUUUAACAAACGUUUCCAUUUAAAUGGCUUAUGAAAAAUAAUUAGAUAUUCAAUUUUAUGUGCGUACCCGGGAUAUGCUGACGGGGGUGUCAUAGGUAUCACAUGCAUAAAGUAUUUGACGAUGCCUGAAAAGAAAUGUCCAACCUUCUGGCCAAGUUCCUGUUUAACACUGUUGUUAUGCUACUAGAGUAAAAAGCAACCUCAGAGACCUUAUUUAGAAACCGAGAGUAGUGUUUUUUUUUGUAAAAAAGUAAAAUAUUGAAAACAAAAAUGGUAUACAAUG